UACGAGUGCCUCAAGCGUUAUCCGGAAUCAUUGGGCGUAAAGGAUGUGUAGGUGGUCAUGUUAGUCUCUCGUUAAAUUCUUCGGCUUAACCGGGGGCAUGCGAGGGAAACGGCACGACUAGAGGAUGCAAGGGGUCUGCGGAACUCAUAGUGUAGCGGUGAAAUGCGUUGAUAUUAUGGGGAACACCAAAAGCGAAGGCAGCAGACUAGGGCACUCCUGACACUGAGACAUGAAAGCGUGGGUAGCGAAUGGG
rnacentral:rRNA from 1 species